rnacentral:rRNA from 1 species
UGAAUACGAGAUGCUACGGCGUCGAAGCAGUCUAUGUCAUACUUCCAAGAAAAGCUUGCACUGUCAUAAACAAAUAAUGCCUGUACCAUAACCGACACAGGUGGGUAGGUAGAGUAUACUAAGGGGCGCGAGAUAACUCUCUCUAAGGAACUCGGCAAAAUGACUCCGUAACUUCGGGAGAAGGAGUGCCUUAUUUAUAAGGUUGCAAUAACAAGAUCCAAGCAACUGUUUACCAAAAACACAGGUCUCCGCUAAGUCGUAAGACGAUGUAUGGGGGCUGACGCCUGCCCAGUGCCAGAAGGUUAAAGAAGUUGGUUAGCAUCCGCGAAGCUGAUAACUGAAGCCCUGGUGAACGGCGGCCGUAACAAUAACGGUCCUAAGGUAGCGAAAUUCCUUGUCGGGUAAGUUCCGACCCGCACGAAAGGCGUAAUGAUUUGGAUACUGUCUCGGAGAGGGGCUCGGUGAAAUAGACUUGUCUGUGAAGAUGCGGACUACCUGCACCAGGACAGAAAGACCCUAUGAAGCUUUACUGUAACCUGAAAUUGAAAUUGGACUUUACUUGCGCAGUAUAGGUGGGAGGCGUUGAGAAUAUUCUUGCGGGAUUAUUGGAGCCAUCAGUGAGAUACCACUCUUGUAAUGUUAGAUUUCUAACUUUGUAUCAUUAUCUGGUCAAAGAACAGUUUCAGGCGGGCAGUUUGACUGGGGCGGUCGCCUCCUAAACGGUAACGGAGGCGCACAAAGGUUUCCUCUGAACGGGUAGAAAUCGUAUCUAGAGUGUAAAGGCAUAAGGAAGCUUGACUGUGAGACCUACAAGUCGAGCAGGGACGAAAGUCGGUCUUAGUGAUCUGACGGUGCUGAGUGGAAAGGCCGUCACUCAACGGAUGAAAGUUACUCUAAGGAUAACAGGCUGAUCUCCCCCAAGAGUUCACAUCGACGGGGAGGUUUGGCACCUCGAUGUCGGCUCAUCGCAUCCUGGGGCGGUAGUACGUCCCAAGGGUUGGGCUGUUCGCCCAUGAAAGCGGUACGCGAGCUGGGUUCAGAACGUCGUGAGACAGUUCGGUCCAUAUCCGGUGUAGGCGUUAGAAUAUUGAGAGGAGCCUUCUUUAGUACGAGAGGACCGAGAAGGACAUACCUCUGGUGUACCAGUUAUCGUGCCAACGGUAAACGCUGGGUAGCUAUGUGUGGAGUGGAUAACCGCUGAAAGCAUCUAAGUGGGAAGCCCACCUCAAGAUAAGUAUUCUCAU